ensembl:lncRNA
UGGUGUUAUAAGCACUUGUUUUGUUAGAUGUAUUUUUUCAGACAGGGCACAGUCUCCUUUGUGGCAAAACCUUCAAACUUCACCAUCCUCAGCUGAAACAACAACAUCUUAACCCCAUCUUCAUGAACUGCUGAGCCAAACCUGAUCCAUCAGUGCUGGACUGCACAGACAACUACAUGCCACAAGGAGACUGCUGUGUUAUGAACUGCCAUACCAGUGUGUCUUCAAUGGAGAAGAUGACACACCCAUCACCUGACCUCCUGCCUGAUCUGGAGACCAUCAUCAUGCUGCCACACUACACACCUCUGAGACCAUCAAUUAUGACUGAUACUGAGGAAACUGUAUUUCCUGUCAGAAAUGCUCAUUGAUCCUCAGAGCAGAGAGAGUGUCCCAACUGAGACAUUCAAACCUCAUUGCAGAGCUCAUGUCUUUCCUCACCAUCAUGUGAGUGUGAGAUUGCUCUGGAUUCUGGUUAUGUGGCCUGCAGCACCUAUAAGUACAAGCUCGUCCAGUGUGCCUGCAUUCCAGCUUCUUAUACUCUACGCAAGUGGACAGAGUAUAAGUGUUUGACCACUCUUACAGACACCGACUUCUGUCAACUCACUCCUACUGAUCAGGCACCUCACUCCAGGAAGACAGAGGGCUGCAAGCCUGUCAUCAUUUCCUGUGUGGCUAUUCUUGGGGUAGCAUCAGAUUUUUCCCACAAAUAUUAAAAGAGGCAGUGGAGACUGUCAGAAAACGACUACAAGAAGACAGCUCCUUGGAAGACAGGACCAACUUCACACCCGAUCAGAUUUGCACACUGUUAGACCUCUGCCUUACCACUACAUAUUUGAAAUACAACGAGGGUUUCUACAGACAAAAACAUUGCUGCGCCAUGGGCUCCCCCGUGUCACCUAUUGUAGCCAACCUUUGCAUGGAGGAAGUGGAAAUGAAGGCUCUUGGCUCUUUUAAAGGGAGAGUACCCAGCCACUGGUACAGAUAUGUAGACGACACCUGGGUCAAAAUCAAAACACAAGAAGUGGAAUCCUUCACUGGGCACAUUAACGCCGUGGAUAAAAACAUCAAGUUCACCAGGGAAGACAAAGGACGACUGUUUGCCUUUCCUGGACUGCGCCGUGCACAUUGAAGAGAAUGGCAACCUCAACAUUGAAGUUUAUUGGAAGCGCACACACACAGACCAGUACCUCCUCUUUGACUCCCAUCACCCUCUGGAUCACAAACUUGGAGUAAUCAGGACCCUGCACUACCGGGCAGAACAUGUUCCCUUUAAGCCUGAAGGGAAAAAGAAGGAACACACACAUGUAAAGGAAGCACUUAAAACAUGUGGCUAUCCUUAUUGGGCGUUUAUAAAGUCAGCAAAGAUGCACAGAAAAGAACAUCAGACACCAGCGAGGGAGGAUAAGAAAGAGAGAUGCAACAACAUUGUCAUCCCCUAUGUAGCCGGUGUAUCAGAGAAACUAAGGAGAGUUUUCUCCAAGCACGACAUCCCAGUGUACUUCAGACCCAGCAACACACUCAGACAGAAACUGGUUCACCCGAAAGACACAUCUCCUAAACACAGACUUAACAACGUGGUGUAUGCUGUACAGUGCAGUGAGGAAUGCCCAGACCUCUACAUUGGAGAGACCAAACAGCCACUUCACAAGCGCACGGCACAACAUAGAAGAGCCACCUCCACGGGACAAGACUCAGCAGUUCAUCUGCAUCUAAAGGACAAAGGUCAGUCUUUCGAGGAUGCCAACGUUCACAUUUUGGACAGAGAGGACAGAUGGUUUGAAAGAGGAGUGAAAGAAGACAUUCACGUCCACUGUGAGCGACCAUCUUUGAACAGAAGCGGUGGUUUAUGACACCAACUGUCUGCCAUCUAUAAUCCAGUUUUGAGAUCCCUUCCCAGACACCUUAAUGCCCACUCACAUCCUGGGCCAUCUGACCUAAGGGAAAUCACAUGAUAGGGUGGGGCCAGGUUUCACAAUAAGCUCACCCGAAACCCUGCCUGGUUGGGACCCACACCCACU